rnacentral:rRNA from 1 species
CAGCAGCCGCCGCGGGAAUACAGAGGGUGCGAGCGUUAAUCGGAUUUACUGGGCGUAAAGCGUGCGUAGGCGGCUAAUUGAGUCGGAUGUGAAAUCCCCGAGCUUAACUUGGGAAUUGCAUUCGAUACUGGUUAGCUAGAGUGUGGGAGAGGAUGGUAGAAUUCCAGGUGUAGCGGUGAAAUGCGUAGAGAUCUGGAGGAAUACCGAUGGCGAAGGCAGCCAUCUGGCCUAACACUGACGCUGAGGUACGAAAGCAUGGGGAGCAAACAGGAUUAGAUACCCCGGUAGUCCCUGUCUCUUAUAC